AAUAGAAUUGCUGAAUUAUAUGGUGAUUCUAUGUUUAGCUGUUUUAGGAACUAUGAAAUUUUUUUCUACAUAGCAACUGAACCAUAUUACUUUUACACUAGCAAU
rnacentral:pre_miRNA from 1 species